UUAAUUUGAAUUGUGCAUUGUCUCUUGACUGUUAAGGUUUUGAGUUCGUUUGAUUUUUGACGGAAAAAUGCACUGAUAAUUCUUAGAAUUUCGUUGUUUAGAAUUUUACUUUUUUGGCAUUGGACUACUAUUCUGUAGGUUUUAGGCACGGAAUUGCUAUUAUUUUGUGAGAUUUGGAUGUAUUUGGGAGAAAUGUGUUAUGAUUUUGAUUGUUGUUUAAAUUAAUUUUCAGCUUUACCCUUAUAUCCUUGUAGUAUUGGUCUUCUGACUUGUAUUGGUCUGGUUUCCUGAAAAAAUCAAAAUGUUGAGAGUGAAGUGCAAUUUCUCUUGCUGCAAUAUAUUUUUUAUAUCAUCAAAUGUAUGGAUAAUAUUAAUGCAAUUUGCCAAAUUCGGUUGCUCUCAUUUUUGUACUCCAUGUUUUAAUUGGGAACUUGUGAAGAAACCCUUUCGUUGGCAACUUGGCAUUAUUUUCUUUAUUUUUCUUUCAGGUAAAGAGCUUCACUAUUAUUUUCUGUUAUGUUAAAUACUAGAUGUUGUUAAGGUCCCGUAAGGAUUUUCAUGUGGUUGCCACAGAAGCUGUUUGGUAAUAUGUGCUUGAAUAUUACGUAUACUACCUCCGUAGAUGCUGAAGAUAACAUACAAGAGUUGUUUGUGUUAGGUGUAGAAGCAAUCCCGGAUUGACAGAGGUUUCCUCUAGUUCUGUUGGCUUCUCCUUUUUGUGUUCUUGUUUUAUUUAUUUUCUUCAAAUUUUGUGAAGACUUAACAAAAGAUAGUUGUCGAACACUUGCAUAUCAUUGCAUUGAACAUGAUCGAACACUGUAAUUUUCAAUUGUUGUUGGUAAUUAGAUCACGAAACUGGUGAUUUGGCAAUUAGACAUGUAACCAAUGUAUAAAUUUCGUAGUUAUGAAGUGGACUCGGAGCAGUUGUCUUGGCAUAUGCUCCUUUUGGUGAUUAAAGUUUCUACACGACCUUUCUUUCUGUGGCAAUUUGGAAUUACUUAUUAGUUACAAUCGUUGUCAGAAACUCUGUGGAGUUGGAUGUUUUAAUAGUGAUUUAUCGCUUUUUAAAUUGGAGUUCACUCUUUGAAUAAUCUAUAAUAUGUAGACAGGGCACUGACGUGUCUCUGAAGGAUCUUGACUACCUUUUGUCUCUACUUGAGGAAAAGAAGAGAAAGAUGGCCGGAGCAAGAAGAAGCUAGGGUUUGAAGCCAGUAAACUCGCUAAGAAUACAAGGAAAUGGUUAAGAUUGAAGCCAGUAAACUCGCUAAGAAGCAUCCACGUGUCUUGCAGAUGGAAUGAGCUACUAGGACGGUGGUUGACUGGUACUUUCAUUCCGGCAGAAAUAUUAAAAGUACAAGAGUUUGUGUUCUGUGAUGUUUACCAAGGCUUCAUGCGUAUCUUGUCCAACCCUAAACACUAUGGCAUCAAGGAAACAAGAGGAGCAUGUUGUGGAAUAGGGUGGCAUGGAGCAGCAUCGGGGUGCGACACCAUGGAGAUGGUUUGCAACCAAAGUACAGCUCAUGUAAUCCUUCUAAGGCCGUCAAUUAUCUGCUGGCCGACUCUGCCUGGUUCGGUCAUCCAUUGGGUGACAUCUUUCAUCCCUUGAGCGUCCGAGCACUGGUGAACAUAGCUUCAGCAGCAGCAGCAGCAGCAGGUGUUCUGGCAACAACAGUUAUCGAUUACAAGCUAGAAGCAGCAGCAGCUGUUCUGGCAGAAGUAGAAAGCAGCAAUUCUGGCAGCAGCCAGUUGAAACAAGAACAAAACCAAGCCAGCCUAAAGAGUGUUUAUUUUCACCAGUUGCUGGACUUUCUUGAAGUUCUCUGCCUUAACUGUGACUAUCACCGUUGGUAAUGCAUCCCAUCUUUGUAUUGAAAGUCAUAUCUUGAUUUGUCAUAGAUUUGAUUUCUAACAUCUUCCAUUUUUAUAUCCAGGAUAGAGAUAUUUACUUAAACUUUUAUGUUUAAAGUGUAGUUAGGUUAUCAACAUGUUGGUUGAUCUAUGGUGAAUUUGCCUUUUAUUGGGUUGUAAACUGUUUUGACAGGUAUAUAUUAAUGUAUUAUAACAUUCCCGGUAUUGGGGAGGGUCAAAUUACAAAGGAAAUGUUGUCAAAAUUUUCAC